rnacentral:lncRNA from 1 species
AGGAUUGUCGAUCCAGAACAAUCCUAGUGAGCUCUCACAAUCCACCAGUGACACCUAGCAGUAUGUAGUGGCAAUCCAGUAGAACUGAAAUGAACCUCUAGGUGUAGUUAAUGUGUGAUUCAGUUCCUCUAUCAUGAGUUCCGACUAGAUGGCAGGUCAUGGAUAAAUUAUCAAAUCUCAACAUCAGUCAUAUAAUAGAUUGAUUAGCUCAAGUCCAGUUGUGACUUCUAUGAAAACUCUUUUUUAUCAAUCACACUGCUGUGGCCACAGACUCUUGAACUUAGCCUCUCAAAUCUCAUAAGACUACUCCUCUCUAUCAAG